rnacentral:rRNA from 1 species
GAGAGUUAAACAGUACGUGAAAUUGUUGAAAGGGAAACGAUUGAAGCCAGUCAUGCCGGUGGGAAAUCAGCUCCCGGGGUAACCAGGGAAGUGCACUUUCUCGCAAGGCAGGUUAGCGUCAGUUUCGCCAGUCGUAAAAAGUCCAUCGGAAGGUAGCUCCAUUCGGAGUGUUAUAGCCAGCGGUCAAUGCGACGUGCGGGAUUGAGGAUUGCAGCGGGUACCCUUCGGGGCUAAGUGCCUGACCCUUGUUCGAGAUCGUCUCGGCAGCAGCGUGCUGGUGACGAGCACGAUUCGCGGACACGGGGUUUAGCGUCACGGUAAACUCGUUAAGGAUGCUGACGUAAUGGCUUCAAACGA